rnacentral:rRNA from 1 species
AUUGAACGCUGGCGGCAGGCCUAACACAUGCAAGUCGAACGGUAACAGGAAGAAGCUUGCUUCUUUGCUGACGAGUGGCGGACGGGUGAGUAAUGUCUGGGAAACUGCCUGAUGGAGGGGGAUAACUACUGGAAACGGUAGCUAAUACCGCAUAACGUCGCAAGACCAAAGAGGGGGACCUUCGGGCCUCUUGCCAUCGGAUGUGCCCAGAUGGGAUUAGCUAGUAGGUGGGGUAACGGCUCACCUAGGCGACGAUCCCUAGCUGGUCUGAGAGGAUGACCAGCCACACUGGAACUGAGACACGGUCCAGACCCCUACGGGAGGCAGCAGUGGGGAAUAUUGCACAAGGGGCGCAAGCCUGAUGCAGCCAUGCCGCGUGUAUGAAGAAGGCCUUCGGGUUGUAAAGUACUUUCAGCGGGGAGGAAGGGAGUAAAGUUAAUACCUGUGCUCAUUGACGUUACCCGCAGAAGAAGCACCGGCUAACUCCGUG